UUCUUAAACAAAAAGUGUUAUGCUAAAUGCAGUUAGCUAGGUAGCUACUACAUCUUUUAUUAUUUUUUCCUGAAAACUUUUUGUGCAAAUAAAAUGACUGACAGAUUAUUUUAGCUGAACCGGUAAUGACAGGCUGUUCCCUGUGUUUUCAUUAAAAGCAAAGUUGCAUUGAAGUUUUUUGGAAAGGGGUAUUACGCCUAUACGCCUGUUCAACUCUGUUUAACUAUACUGAGCGUUUAGUCCAGUGUUAACAACAGACUGUUGUUUUUGGUAAAGGCUGUUACGCCUAGCGUCAUGUACAACGUGGUUUACCUGUACUAAGUACAACCAAUGUGACAAUUCAUUUUUAAACUUUCUCGGUAAUCAUGUCUGAACGGAUGUGCAACAAUGUUUACCUUUUUUAAACAGAGUCUGUGAGAAAGUUUUUUCCAAAGGCGUUUUUUUACUAUACGCCUGUGCAACACGGUUUAACUUGGACAUGCCAACUAAGAAACAUAAUGACCUAUUUAGUUUUUGAAGUGAUGGUGGUCAGUGGUGUUUGUAAACUGUUUCACCUUUCUGUCUUUUUAUUUGUGUAAUAUUUGUUUUCUGUUUAUUUUUAAGGUUAAGAUAUAUAAAUAUAUUGUCACGUUUUUUAGCCAUGUACAGAUCUUGAACGCACCGGUUUUGGCUAGGAACGAAUAUUUUUUAGGCUACGUACCUAACCUUCCUUAUUAUUAGUUUAUCCUACCCAACAUUUUUUAUGUUGAGGUCAUAGCCAUUAAGCUAGCUACAUUUUUAGUUAAAAGUGAAAGUAUGAAAUGUAGUUUGGCUAUAUACAACAAUAUUCUUAAGCAAUAUUUUUUAUGCUAAAUGCAGUUAGCUAGGUAGCUACAUCUUUUAUUAUUUUCCUUAAACCUUUAAUUUAAACCAAAGUUGCAACAAAGUUUUUUUUGGAAAAAGGUAUCACGCCUAUACGCCUGCUCAAAUCUGUUUAAAGCUUACCUCCCGCCACAAAAAAAGUUCAACUCAAAAUACAUAAAGAACUAACAAUUUAAACAUGAUUUUGUUAAAUUUGCAACGAUAUGUAAAAGAUAUAGACAAAAGUUUACCUUAUAUUUACCCAGUUUCGACUUCACUUGUCAGCCAUCUUUGAAGAAUUAAAAUAUCGGAUUUCGCCCGGCUUUGACGUCAUGGUAAUGGUAAUGCCAGAAUAAUCGACCCUCGGUAAGAAGAGAGAGAGGAGGAGAAGCGCGAAGCAGUGCCCUUGUUAGUCCUGCACACGAAUCAAGAUUCUUGCCAAGUACAAUUGGUUAAGGAUAUGCAUCAAAUGAAUGAGAAUAUUUUACAGCUGGUCUGGAGAUAUUCCAUUUAUUGAAGAUCCGUUAUUUUUUAAAGAGUAUUUUCUUUGAAAAAGAUAAAAUGUCUGCAGCAACAGCUUUGGCCAUAAUGGAUCACAAUCUCAAUGUGUUUAGAAAACAGAUAUCUAAAUGGCUCUAAUCAGUCCCAAUUUCUGAUGAAAAUAUUUUAGCUACUUUGUCCGUAUUAUAGGCCACGUGUCGCAAGAAGAACGCUGGAGGUCAUUAUGUUCUGAAAUAUCGCGCGUAAGGUAUUCAAAGCCACGAAGCGCUGUACCGCAUUGAAAGUAAAGGUCGACAAAUCAUAUAAUUUCAUGCGACGAAUUGCCGAAGCUUCGUAUUUCAGAGCUGCAGAUUCGGAAACACAAAAUCAAAAGGACGCAGAUUCCAGAAAGAGAGAGUUGUGUAUGACACCUGAGGAAAGACCGUCUCGAGAAGAAACAAUUGAAAGCUCGACAAAGUGUUCCGGCUUGAAAUGAACUCAGUUAUUUUUUGUACUUUCUACUUUAUAUUAUGCUCACUCGAAAUUUUUUGUAGACACUUACUAUCCAACUCGAGAACAUGCACGUGUAGUCCUACUGUAUAUUUGAUUUUACCGAGUGGUGGAGAUAGACAUUACUGCUCAUUUUCAUCACUGAUUAAUUUCUAGCUCAAGAAUUUCUUCAGUGCUUUAAGUUUCGCAAGGGGUAAAGAAAUACUAUUAUAUUUUCACAUAAGGUCGAGUUUCUGCGCAUUACUAGAUGACGUCAUUCCGUCCCAAAUUGCGAAAGUUAUUACUCUCGGAACUCAAGAUGGCGACUGGCUGCACACUUUUGAUGGCAAUAUAUGGUAUAUGGGCUGUUACACCUAUGCGGAUGUGCAAUGACCUGUACUAAGGGGUUUGCCCACUGUGACAAUUAAUUUUAAACUUUCUUGGAAAUCACGCCUGUACGAUGUUCAACACUACUUACCUGGACCAACCACUCAGCCCUGUGUCAGUAAUGGACUGUUUCUUGUGUCUACCAAGGAAAUGUUAAACUUGUUUGCAGCCACGGGACAUAUUAAUUAUGCCAAGAAUGCACGACUGUUCCUUCAACAAAUGGUUGCCCUUUAGAGAAAAAAUCCCUGGCUCCAUCAGAAAUUUCAACAAGGUUCACAUGCUGUUCGAAGAUCAACCGUUACUGGACAGGUUUAUGGUCUGACCUUGUGAUCGAACAAACUCUCAUGAGAUCAAUCAAAACCAGAGGAGGACUCACCAGAGGGCCAGGAAUGAAUGAUGAUGUGCAGAACCUUUGGGUUCUUAGCUUGAAUUCCAGCGCCUCCAUUCAUGAAGCAAUGACUGUUGCUUGCUUGCUUUGACAGUAAGGCUACUGUCAAAGCAAGCAAGCAACAUGUCCAGAUGGGGGAAUCAAGACGCUCCAAAGAUUAUACAUAUUUCAAGAUCUUUAUAGACUUUAUGAAGACACAAAUCUGCAUUCGCUUUCUUUUGGCUUGACGUCUGAUGAAAAUGAUUGUAUCAACUGUGAAAUUGUGGAAGAAAUCGGAGAAAUGAUACAAGCAAAGUUGGACAACUUUUCAGUAGUUGAAUGCAAUAUCAAGCAGAAGGACCAGGUUAAGCCCAUCAUUUCCUUGCAAUCCAAAGUCCAAUUGAAAAAAGAAUCUGUCAUAGUCAAUCCAACGAUGCUGUUCACACGAUUGGUAGCCAUAGCGCAAAGGGGAAAAGAAGACAUAGAAGAACGUUUUGCUUUCAAACUAACACAAGAGUCAAUGUCUCUCUUUGAAGAUGCCUUAAUGAGAAAACCUGACAAUCCCUCAUUACGUAAGGCUGUGAUGGAAGAUGAUGAGGCAGUGGAAAAAAAAUCAAAUACAAAUUGAUCCUAUUUCGUAGGCGAUGGUGGAGCGCUAUGGCAUAGAGUCCGUUGGAUCAAAAAUUCUACUUUUGAUGAACCAUCGCAAGUUUACCUUGCUACGUUCGACGGCACUAUAAAUCUUGCACCAUUGUCUUUGAUGGAUAUGAUGUUCCUAGCACGAAAUCAAGUGAGCACAUGUCACAAACAGGUGGCAGAAAACGAUGCCCCAAUAUCGAUGUUGGUUUCAACAAAGUAUCUUUUACCCAAGAAAGUUGAAUAACGAAGAUAACAAAACACGUUUUAUCAGGCAUAUCAACAUAAAAUUUCAGCAAGACGGGCAAAUAGUGAAGAUUUGUGAAGGUGAUGCUGAUACAACAAUCGCCGCAACAGUACUAAAAGAAUCCGAAACAAACAACUAAAAAGCCGUUGUAACAGUUGCCGAUGAUACUGAUGUCGCAAUGAUGCUUUUAUACCAUAGGCAAGAAAAUCAUGGAGAUGUUUACUUCUUUCAAGAGAGGUUGGAUAAAGCCUGGAACAUGAAAGUUGUCUGUCAGAAAUGGAACCCUACCCGACAGCAUAUUCUUUUUGCACAUUCGUUAUCCGGCUGUGACACAACAUCGGCACCUUUCGCAACGGGAAAAAAUAACUUGCUGUCAUUGGUCACAAAAAACAAAACAUUGCAGAUUGUCUCAGACACAACGAGUGAUGUUUGGGCAGACAACAAAGAUGUCAAAGAAGCUGCCAUCAAAGCGUUUCAAAUCAUUUAUGAUGGUAACGAGUUGACUGAAUUAUGCAAACUUAGGUGAGUUUCUUACAUAGUGCAAUACAACAUUUUCCACAAUAUAAAAGGGUUUUCUUCAUUUAAUCUCAAAGUGCAUGAAAAUAGGAUGUUGAUCAGAGAAGACUUUAGAUACAGACAUUACCACCAAUUUUAUCAUUUUUGCAAAUACCAGAAAUAUCUCGAUAUGUGUUGGAAAGGAAAAAUUGAUCCUUUGAAAAGUGCUGCUAUUCUACACGGUUUUCGAGUUCAUCUACAGAUAAUGAAUUGGAAGAUAUUGGAGGAAGAAGAGCUUAAGCAAAUUGAUCCAAGCAAAUGGGGCUGGAAAAUUGAAAAUUCUUAAAUAAUGCCAAUAAAGACAGAUAAACAAGUCGCCCCUGAUAGCCUCCUAAAAAUCAUUAAAUGUAACUGCAAGGCUACUUCGAAGUCACCCUGUUCAGCAAAUUUGUGUUUGUGCAGAAAACAUGGUCUGAGCUGUAUGCAGUCUUGUGGAGAAUGUCACGGUGAAACAUGUGAAAAUAAAGAGGUCUGCUCUCUAUAAUUCUCCUUUUUAAAGGCAAAUCUCUUCUAAGGAGUUAGUUUAGCAAAAAAUCUAACCUUUGUCUUAUUAAUCACUCUUUUUUAGGUAUGCGAUGGUGAUAGUAACGUCGAAGAUGAUUUGGAAAAUGAAGAAGAGAAUAGAAACAUUUGUGAUAUAUUUGAUGCAUUUUAAUCUCUAUAAUAAUAGCCGUUGUCUGUCUGUCUCUGCGCGGACCCCCCGCUGAGUUAGAAAAUGAUGUUACGGAAACACGAAUAUCAAAUGCGAUAUACUUUUGUCCACUUUGUUGCCACGGAUAAAUUUAAAGGACGGGCGAACCCGUGGAUUUUUCCACGGGCAACGACUAGUCUAUAUUAUAAUACCCGUAUACGUCUGUCUGUCUGUCACGCAAAUUGGUAGCUUAGCUGCGCAAUAGCAAGAAGCACGCAAUGUGGUACAAAAAGGACGGGCGAACCCGUGGAUUUUCCACGGGCUAACAACUAGUUUUACAUAAUUUGUAUACAAAUUUUUACUUUUUUAAGAUGAAAACUUCAAGAAAGUUCAUGAUUUUUGAGAAUUGGGUUGACAAUAUUUUUUGUUCAAAAUUGACUGGUUUUCGAAUUAACCAACUUUCGUUUUCUCGAAAAUUUGGAAAUUCACUAUUUCUAAAAAUGGCACAUAUCUCAUUUUCUACAAAUGAUAUUGAUAGGGUUUUUUUUCUGGUAAUCUACAUAUUAAAAGGAGUAAGUGUGCCAAAUUUCUGACAUUUUUUCCGGGUCAGUGUGUUUUUCUACUUUAACGACUAUAAAGCUUACAGCCAAUAAAUUCAAAAUAUUA